AGCGAACGCUGGCGGCAGGCUUAACACAUGCAAGUCGAACGCCCGGGCAACCGGGAGUGGCAGACGGGUGAGUAACGCGUGGGAACGUGCCCUUUGGUUCGGAAUAACUCAGGGAAACUUGAGCUAAUACCGGAUAAGCCCUUACGGGGAAAGAUUUAUCGCCGAAGGAUCGGCCCGCGUCCGAUUAGCUAGUUGGUAGGGUAAUGGCCUACCAAGGCGACGAUCGGUAGCUGGUCUGAGAGGAUGAUCAGCCACACUGGGACUGAGACACGGCCCAGACUCCUACGGGAGGCAGCAGUGGGGAAUAUUGGACAAUGGGGGCAACCCUGAUCCAGCCAUGCCGCGUGAGUGAUGAAGGCCCUAGGGUUGUAAAGCUCUUUCGGCGGGGACGAUAAUGACGGUACCCGCAGAAGAAGCCCCGGCUAACUUCGUGCCAGCCGCCGCCGUAACAC
rnacentral:rRNA from 1 species